UCCCGGUUAACCCGGGCAGUCUCAUUAGAGUUCCCAUCCGAAAUGCUGGCAACUAAUGAUAAGGGUUGCGCUCGUUGCGGGACUUAACCCAACACCUCACGGCACGAGCUGACGACAGCCAUGCAGCACCUGUGCAGAGACUCCGAAGAGAGGCAACAUUUCUGUUGCGGUCCUCUGCAUGUCAAAUCUAGGUAAGGUUCUUCGCGUUGCAUCGAAUUAAACCACAUGCUCCACUGCUUGUGCGGGUCCCCGUCAAUUCUUUUGAGUUUCACCCUUGCGAGCGUACUCCCCAGGCGGUAUACUUAUCACGUUAGCUACGGCACAGCCAGGGUUGAGUCCGGCUACACCAAGUAUACAUCGUUUACGGCAAGGACUAC
rnacentral:misc_RNA from 1 species